AUAAGUAUGCCAGAUUUAUGGGUUUGAUUUAGGUUCAUAUUAUGGUUAUUUUUAACUUACUUAUU
rnacentral:tRNA from 1 species